UACGUAGGGAGCAAGCGUUGUCCGGAAUCAUUGGGCGUAAAGCGCGCGUAGGUGGCUUCAUAAGUCCGUUGUGAAAGUCAAAGGCUCAACCUUUGAAAGCCGAUGGAUACUGUGAAGCUAGAGUACGGAAGAGGCGAGUGGAAUUCCUGGUGUAGCGGUGGAAUGCGCAGAUAUCAGGAGGAACACCAAUAGCGAAGGCAGGUCUCUGG
rnacentral:rRNA from 1 species